rnacentral:rRNA from 1 species
GACGAACGCUGGCGGCGUGCUUAACACAUGCGAGUCGAACGGAAAGGCCCUGCUUUUGUGGGGUGCUCGAGUGGCGAACGGGUGAGUAACACGUGAGUAACCUGCCCUUGACUUUGGGAUAACUUCAGGAAACUGGGGCUAAUACCGGAUAGGAGCUCCUGCUGCAUGGUGGGGGUUGGAAAGUUUCGGCGGUUGGGGAUGGACUCGCGGCUUAUCAGCUUGUUGGUGGGGUAGUGGCUUACCAAGGCUUUGACGGGUAGCCGGCCUGAGAGGGUGACCGGCCACAUUGGGACUGAGAUACGGCCCAGACUCCUACGGGAGGCAGCAGUGGGGAAUAUUGCACAAUGGGCGGAAGCCUGAUGCAGCAACGCCGCGUGCGGGAUGACGGCCUUCGGGUUGUAAAGCGCUUUCGCCUGUGACGAAGCGUGAGUGACGGUAAUGGGUAAAGAAGCACCGGCUAACUACGUG